rnacentral:rRNA from 1 species
UACGAAGGGGGCUAGCGUUGCUCGGAAUUACUGGGCGUAAAGGGCGCGUAGGCGGACAGUUUAGUCAGAGGUGAAAGCCCAGGGCUCAACCUUGGAAAUGCCUUUGAUACUGGUGAGCUUGAGUCCGGAAGAGGUGAGUGGAACUGCGAGUGUAGAGGUGAAAUUCGUAGAUAUUCGCAAGAACACCAGUGGCGAAGGCGGCUCACUGGCCCGGUACUGACGCUGAGGCACGAAAGCGUGGGGAGCAAACAGG